rnacentral:rRNA from 1 species
UACGGAGGGUGCGAGCGUUAAUCGGAAUUACUGGGCGUAAAGGGUGCGUAGGUGGUUUAAUAAGUUAUGUGUAAAAGUCCUGGGCUUAACCUAGGGAGGCCAGAUAAUACUGUUAAGCUAGAGUAUAGGAGAGGGUAGUGGAAUUUCCGGUGUAGCGGUGAAAUGCGCAGAUAUCAGGAGGAACACCGGUGGCGAAGGCGGGUCUCUGGGCCGAUACUGACGCUGAGGAGCGAAAGCGUGGGGAGCAAAAAGG